rnacentral:rRNA from 1 species
GAAAGGGAGAGUAGCGCGUGGAUCACCUACCCUCGGGUCUGGGAUAGCUGCGGGAAACCGCGGGUAAUACCGGAUAAUGUCUCCGGACCAAAGGUGUAAUUCCGCCCGGGGACGGGUCCGCGUCCUAUUAGCUUGUUGGUGGGGUAACGGCCUACCAAGGCGACGAUGGGUACCGGGCGUGAGAGCGUGGCCCGGCUCACUGGGACUGAGACACUGCCCAGACACCUACGGGUGGCUGCAGUCGAGAAUCUUCGGCAAUGGGCGCAAGCCUGACCGAGCGACGCCGCGUGCGGGAUGAAGGCCUUCGGGUUGUAAACCGCUGUCAGAGGGGAGGAAAUGUCAGGGGGUUCACCCCCUGGUUUGACCUAUCCUCAGAGGAAGGACGGGCUAAGUUCGUGCCAGCAGCCGCGGUAAGACGAACCGUCCGAACGUUAUUCGGAAUUACUGGGCUUAAAGGGUGCGUAGGCGGCCCGGUAAGUUGGGUGUGAAAUCCCUCGGCUUAACCGAGGAAUGGCGCUCAAAACUGCCGGGCUUGAGGGAGACAGAGGUGAGCGGAACUUANGGUGGAGCGGUGAAAUGCGUUGAGAUCCUAAGGAACACCAGUGGCGAAAGCGGCUCACUGGGUCUCUUCU